rnacentral:rRNA from 1 species
CUACGGGGGGCAGCAGUGAGGAAUAUUGGUCAAUGGGCGAGAGCCUGAACCAGCCAUCCCGCGUGCAGGAUGACGGCCCUAUGGGUUGUAAACUGCUUUUCUACUAGAAGAAACCUGAUUACGUGUAAUCAGUUGCCGGUAUAGUAGGAAUAAGCAUCGGCUAACUCCGUGCCAGCAGCCGCGGUAAUACGGAGGAUGCAAGCGUUAUCCGGAUUCAUUGGGUUUAAAGGGUGCGCAGGUUGGCUUUUAAGUCAGUGGUGAAAUGCUGCCGCUUAACGGUAGAAUUGCCAUUGAUACUGAGAGUCUUGAAUAUGGUUGAGGUAGGCGGAAUGUGUUGUGUAGCGGUGAAAUGCAUAGAUAUGACACAGAACACCGAUUGCGAAGGCAGCUUACUAAGCCAUUAUUGACGCUGAGGCACGAAAGCGUGGGGAGCGAACAGGAUUAGAUACCCCCGUAGUC